rnacentral:rRNA from 1 species
UACGGAGGGUGCAAGCGUUGUCCGGAAUCACUGGGCGUAAAGGGCGCGUAGGCGGCUCAUGAAGGCUGUGGUGAAAGUCCGGGGCUCAACCUCGGAUCGGCCGUGGCGACUCGUGGGCUGGAGCACUGUAGAGGCGGGUGGAAUUCCGGGUGUAGCGGUGGAAUGCGUAGAGAUCCGGAGGAACACCCGUGGCGAAGGCGGCCCCCUGGGCCGCGCCUGACGCUGAGACGCGAAAGCGCGGGGAGCGAACGGG